GAAGUGUCACGUGUUACAGUGAAGUUUAUUAGUUUUUGAAAGAAUUUACGAAGUGCAGAUGUUUGUGAUGUGUUCGUUCAUUGAAAUGCGAUUCUACGUGUAUCGAAGGUCGAUGAUCGUCGACGGAGUACACGUGCACGUGGUCGUUCGAACGAGGACCGAGUGAAUCAAAACGUGACCAGUGAUUGGUGACCAGAGAGUGACCAUGCUACGACGUUGGAUCCUCUGCAGUCUUCUUCUGCUCGUCGGAUUUGUUCAAGGGAUACUCAGUGUUAGGAGAAUGGUAGAUGUCGAAAGUUUAGGAAACACUACGUUAGGCGAUCAUCACUCCAUCUGACUAGGGACAUUUUCCUUAAGAGGACAUCCAUUGAGGGAACGCAGAUAGCCUCCAUAGGACAUUCUUUAACAAUAAGUUCUAGUUUUCUUACUAAUGUAGGUGUAGUAAUUUCUACUAUAAGUAUGGCGAUUACAAUUCUGUGUUCGACUAUUUCGGAGCUAGCAGUAAGCAUCUGGCCAUCGCAGAGGGGAAUUGUCAAUUAAUUCAAUUAGUAAUAGUCUCGUUCUGUCCUGAGUUUAACAUUAAAUUGAGAGUUGUAUUUUUAUGGUAUUAUAUGUAUUCUUUUAUCUAUCUCUAUAACUCAAGAUGUCGCAGUAGGCAUUUUAUUGAUAUGCAUAUACCGCUAGAAGGAUUGUUUGUAAAGGUUAUACUAUAAAAAUAAGAAAUAUAAAUAAACGAACUGUAGAUAAAAAACUGUGUAAAAUUUUCUGAACAAGUGUGAUACAAAAUGUAUGGUAGAUUAAAAGC